GAUGAACGCUGGCGGCGUGCCUAAUACAUGCAAGUCGAGCGAACAGACGAGGAGCUUGCUCCUCUGACGUUAGCGGCGGACGGGUGAGUAACACGUGGAUAACCUACCUAUAAGACUGGGAUAACUUCGGGAAACCGGAGCUAAUACCGGAUAAUAUAUUGAACCGCAUGGUUCAAUAGUGAAAGACGGUUUUGCUGUCACUUAUAGAUGGAUCCGCGCCGCAUUAGCUAGUUGGUAAGGUAACGGCUUACCAAGGCGACGAUGCGUAGCCGACCUGAGAGGGUGAUCGGCCACACUGGAACUGAGACACGGUCCAGACUCCUACGGGAGGCAGCAGUCGGGAAUCUUCCGCAAUGGGCGAAAGCCUGACAGAGCAACGCCGCGUGAGUGAUGAAGGUCUUCGGAUCGUAAAACUCUGUUAUUAGGGAAGAACAAAUGUGUAAGUAACUAUGCACGUCUUGACGGUACCUAAUCAGAAAGCCACGGCUAACUACGUG
rnacentral:rRNA from 1 species